AAAAAUCACAGUCUGCCAUU
rnacentral:miRNA from 1 species